rnacentral:rRNA from 1 species
CUCUUUUUUUUAGAAAUCGGACUCAUGUGUGCUCGUGCCAAAAGGCGGAACUGCCACUUUAUGUCUGGGAAUUUCCGAUCCCUUGUAAUUUAAUCAUGUGUAACUCUAUCGCUUGUAGUUCCAUAUACCAUGUCGCUCCCGCGAGCGACCGAGGGGAUAACCCUAGUCGCCGGCGCGCGUUCCCCCUACCUCCCCUCGCCACCGCAUGUCCGCGCCGCCGGGCAAAGCCCAGUGGGUGCUGGCGGCGGCGGGGCCCUUUCUCUCCCCGCUCGUGGGGGCUCGGCGCCGGCGGGCGCUCCCGGCGGCGGCGCGGCGCGGAUCCGGGGAGCGGCGACACUCGGCGCCGGUGUUGCGGAGCGGCAUGCCAGGCGUGGAGGGCCGGACGCGGUGGUUUCGGGUGAUUGCAUGCCCGGGUUGGCGGCGGCGGCUUCGGUUGGAUCUACCCCGCGGGUGCGGCGGCUCUGUUUGAGGCGGGCCCGGGGGCCAUUGGGUGGCUCAGGCGAUGGUCGACCCUCUCUCCUCUGCUCUUCGGCUGGUGUGUGUGGCGGACGGUGGCGGCUUGCUGGUGGAUGUCGGCGACUCGGCAGGGGUGCCGUUGGCUGGCCAGUGGUGGUGGGGGCGAACUGGGGAGGGAGGCAGGGGGCUCCUGACCGUGCCGAUGUCUCAGUGGUCCUUGUCUCCGGUGGAGCGGUGCGGUGGCUGUGGCGAGAACGAGGCCGACGGCUGCCGGUGCCCCUUCCCUGCCUGGAUCUGGCCGGCUGGGCCGCCUUCCCUUCCCACCAAAAGGUCUGUUUUGGGGUUGAAGGAGGUGCCUUCUACCUCUCACUGGUCGGUGGCGUCCAUUAGUUGUCAUGGUGGUUGCGGUGGGGUCUUGGAUGCUAGGGCGGCGACCUCAAUGGUGGUGGUCGCGCUGCUUGUGGGCAGGGUGCGCGGUUCAGGUGUGGGUUGGUCGCUAUGGCCGUUUGGGCGGCGUGGCGGCCGAUGCUUCGGCGAGCGGUGAUGUUUCGAAGGUGGAGGGUGCCUGCCAGGAGAGACCCCCUGCUCGACUUCGGUUGGGCCGACGGCGACGGUGUCCGCGGGCGUCGUCUCCUUCCUGAAGACGUCGUCGUGGCUACUCUCCUCCUUCCGAUGGUUCGGGUGAAAACCAUGAUCCUUUGGAUCGGGCGGCGACGGCGCUUUGAUGUCGUUCUCCUUCUUGAAGGCGCCGUCCUGAAGGCCUCCUCUCGCCGAGUUCAGCUUCGUGGUUGUUACUUUACUUGUUGUAUCCGGCUUUGGGUGUGUGUUGUGUGGUGGUGUGGUGUGGUGUUGAGUUGUUUGCGACGAUUGUAAUCGGUGAUGUUGCUUUAUAUAUAAAGCGGGGGAAAACCACUUUUCGGUAAUUCCAUAUACUACGGACGAGUUUAUCUGGAGAACAUUCGUUGGGGGCGAAUUGCCAGUGAACGCCCCACUUGCCAUGUCAAAAUAACUAUUAGUGUCAUGCGUUUUUUAGAGAAAUGCCAUGUAAGAAAGGUGAAAUUGUCAUUAUAGGAAAGAAUUGCC